GAUGAACGCUGGCGGCGUGCCUAAUACAUGCAAGUCGAGCGAACAGAUGAGGAGCUUGCUCCUCUGACGUUAGCGGCGGACGGGUGAGUAACACGUGGAUAACCUACCUAUAAGACUGGGAUAACUUCGGGAAACCGGAGCUAAUACCGGAUAAUAUAUUGAACCGCAUGGUUCAUUAGUGAAAGACGGUUUUGCUGUCACUUAUAGAUGGAUCCGCGCCGCAUUAGCUAGUUGGUAAGGUAACGGCUUACCAAGGCAACGAUGCGUAGCCGACCUGAGAGGGUGAUCAGCCACACUGGAACUGAGACACGGUCCAGACUCCUACGGGAGGCAGCAGUAGGGAAUCUUGCGCAAUGGGCGAAAGCCUGACGCAGCCACGCCGCGUGUGUGAUGAAGGUCUUCGGAUCGUAAAGCUCUGUUAUUAGGGAAGAACAAAUGUGUAAGUAACUAUGCAUGUCUUGACGGUACCUAAUCAGAAAGCAACGGCUAACUACGUG
rnacentral:rRNA from 1 species